UGGUGGAUUUUGGUUGAAGGCAGUGUUUAGCCUCAUUUUCAUGGCGGCGAGGUACGGCGUUGGAGGGAGAGCUAAAGAGACAUUGUUGAUGGCCCAUUUCAUGAACCCGUUUAUUCGAUUUUGGGUGUUGAGGAGGAAGAGUCGGCGGUUGUAUCUCACCGGUGGCUUUGGACUGCCCAUGGCAGCGAAGAUUCUGAAUGUGAAGUUUUUGCUCCGAUCAAAAUCCUCCCAGUGGGGGGUUUCCGGAGGUGGAGAAAUGGGUAAUUUGGAGGCGGAGUUGGGGAGGUAAUUGAGGAGGGUUAGUCCUGGAGGGGUUUUGGGUAGCCGUGCGCGGACGCCGAUGGAUACCCAGUAAUUUUCCAAUGGGUUUUGGUCGGUGGUAAUGAGGACGGAGUAUGACUCGCCGGAAUAAAUGUCGAUGUCGGAAGUGACAAAUGGUUGAACGUAGUUGCCGUCGGCUUCUACCACUAACAGUUCGUGAUUCUGCAGAAGAAGAGGAGAAAAUAAUUAUUAAAAUUAGUUUUAAAUUCAUGGAUAAACAUUAAUGUUGAAAGUUGAAGAUAUUAUUUAGUGAAAAAUUAAAGUUUAAAAAUCUAAAAUUAAAUGGAAAUGAACAAUUUGAAACUUAUAAACUAAAAAGGAGAUUAGAAUUUUUUGUUCAUAAUUAUUCAAGUUUACUUUUGAUUAUUUUUAUUUUGAUUUUCAAUUACUAGUUUGAAGCAUGAAUAUGAAUUAUUAACAUUCUAACAUGCAAUUAUUCUAAAAAGGACAAAACAAAAAUGAAAUUUUGAUCCAUUUCUUUCACCACUGAAAAAGGCUAAGAUUUUGUUUUGUGUAAUUAUUAUGUGCAUAAUUAGAGAGAGAUGGACCUCAUUUUGUUAUACCUUUGACAAGGAAUUAAAUAAAUCUUCAUACUUAACAUACUAUAGAUUUCAUUUAAGUGUAGAAAGAUUUGUAUUUAGUACUCUACUUUUUUAUUAUUUUUCUCCCUUUCCUUUUUUGUUUAUUAUUAUUAUUAUUAUUACUUUCUUUAUAAUUUUCUUUUAAAAAACUAUUCUAUAUCACCCAACUUUUAUAAAUAUUUACUAAUAUAACAAAUUGAUAUCGAUCUAUCAUCUAACUUAGUCUAUCAUAGUCCAUUUUCCAUAAUAGAUAAAAUAUGAAUUUUGCUAUAUUUUGUAAAUAUUUUGAUUUAUUUUAUUAUCAUCUAAAUUGAAUUUUAAAAUAAUAUUUUAUUAUUUUUUUAAUAGUUUUUGUACCCUAAAUUUAAUAAUAUAUUAUAAAAUCUUGUUUAGAAUUUUGUUUCCUAAAGUAUAAAUGUAGAUCCCCACCACAGUACAUCUAGAUCUCAAACAUUUAUGUGGUAACCUUCAACUUUAACAAUUAUUCCAUAAAACAUCUUCCCCAUUAUUAAAAUAAAUGAUAAAAAAAAUGAGGCAAUAGUUUAGAUAUAAAAUCAAAAGAUGGGAUAAGAUCACAUAUUAUUUUAAUCAAAUUAUACAAAUUUAAUCAUAGUAGUUGGGAUAAUUUUAGGAGUUAGUUCCAUAGUUUAUAAAUUACAUAUAUUAUUCACAACUAUUAGCAUUUAUUUCAUCUAGAAAGAAGCAUUAAAACUAUUUAUAAUGUAAAAUCACCUUGGUACCUCAAGGGUCACAUCAAUAAAUAAGAAUAAGAUAUAGUAAAUAAUAUCACUUAUGCUUUACAAUUUCUUACAUAUUUGUUACUUCUCAAGUGGGUUUAUAUAUGUGUGUGUAUAUAUAUAUAUAACUAAAUAAAAGUAUGAUUAAAAUUCUAUAUUAAUAAAAGUACAUAUAUAGAUAUUUUAAGUUUAAGAGUAACAAUCAACUCUCAAGUAAUAUUUUUAAAACAAAGUGAAGCAUUUAAGUGUUAUAUAUAUAAUUGGAUUAGAAAAAGAAAAGAUAAAAAGUAAUAUGAAUAGGACAAGAAAGAUGGGAGCAAAACAUGUGGGAUACCUAAGAGAAGAGUUGGUCAAUGGGAAUCACAUCAUAUUAUCAAUACCAAUAUGUCCAAAAUGUCAGAAAUGUUAGAUUAGGUUAUCUAUUGUUUGUACUCUCCCAAACACUGCUACAUGUGUUUAAAAGUAAAUUUAAAUAUUAUCUCUUAAAUUGCUAUUUUUAAAUACAAUGAAAUAUUAUUAUAUUAUAAAAUUUUGUUAUAUUUAUAAAUAUUUAUGUAAAAAUUUAUAUAUUAAAGGUGGACGUGGAUUAAAAUAGAAGAGAUUUAAUGUAAAGUUUAAAUAUCAAAACGAAUAUUUUAAAGUAUAAUGUGAUAUAUUAUACUCCAGAAUUCAAACCCUAAUAUUCUUAUAGUCAAUUUUGAAAGGAGGGUAAAGUUGAUAAAAUGGCUUUUGAUUGUUUGGUAGCUAUUAUUCUCACUAGUGAAAGAGAAGUUUGUGUGUUUUGGUUAGUUUCCUCUCUCUCUCACACACACACAUAUAAUAUAUAUUUGCUUUCACUAACUACUCCCACUUUUAGGACUUUAUGAGUCAAAACCUUUGAAAUUAUUGGAAGUAAUUUUCAAACAAAAAGCAACUUUCAUACUUCUAACACCUUUUUAACAUAUGGUUUGAUAAAGCUUAAUUAUUUCUUUUGUACAAUUUGUCAUUGGAUGGAGUUACUUUAUCAUGUUUCUUUUAGAUUCAUUCGUCGUGAUUGAAAUUGAACUACUUAUUAAUUUACUCGUUGAGGCUAUUUGAGUGAUUUUUGGAUGUUUAAUUGUUUAAAUUUGAUGAUUUUCGACUGUAAUAUCGAUUUAGAAAGUUUAUUUGGUCAUUACUAAAGGUUAAAUAUCUUUGAAAACUGCUACAAUUAUUUAAAAUUGAAAGAUUAAAUCAUAGAAAAUACCUCAAAAUUGUCAUUUGUUUAAAAAAAAUUAUACCUUCAAAAGUUUAAUACAUACUAAACGUGGAUGGAAUGAAGGUGCAUCGAACUAUACACCAAAACACACAUCCAAUGCCAAAAGUGAAAAUAUUUCAAAAUUACUACGAAAUAUUUACGAAGGGUUAGAGGUAACACUUGAAGGUUUCAAUAUUACUUCUAACUUUCAUAAAUAUUUUAAAAUUUCCUUCGUGACAUGUUAAUGAUGUGACAGUGACCCGUUUUAUUACAUGAUUUCAAGUUUAAUUUUAUGUAUAAGUUAAUACAAUCACAAUAGUUUUGAAAAGACUAGAUACCUAACUUCAAUAUAAGAUAAUUUUGAGACAUUCAUGCUAACAAUUUUGUUACUAAUUUUUUAAUGUAUUUAGUCUUUAUGUUUUAAUCCUUUACCGUUCGAUAAAAAUUUCAUUAAAUAUAUUCAAUCUAAUUUAAAGAUUUUAUCGAAUCAUAAAAACUAAAUUCUACUUUUUUUACGUGAUACGACUAAAUUUGUGACUUAAACCAAAAUGAAAGAUAAAAAGAAGCAAGACUUACUCCAAUGGCAAAGUUGAGGGAAGCCAAGGCAGUGGUACUAGCAAUUCUUAUCCGAUAAGUUUUCUUGGGUUGAACAUGUAGGAUAAAUGGUGCACAUUUUUCUUUUCCACUCAACUCACAUUGCUUCAAACCUUGGUUGUAUUUGGCUGCUAUUGAACAGUCAAAUUGCCCUUUCCC
rnacentral:lncRNA from 1 species